CCUACGGGUGGCAGCAGUGAGGAAUAUUGGUCAAUGGGCGGAAGUCUGACCCAGCAAUGCCGCGUGAAGGAAGAAGGCUUUCUGGUUUUAAACUUCCUUUUACACGGAAGUGCAGAUGACGGUACCUGUCGAAUAAGCCACGGCUAACUACGUGCCAGCAGCUGCGGUAAUACGGAGGUGGCAAGUGUUGUCCGGAUUUACUGGGUGUAAAGGGCGUGUAGCGGGACUGACAAGUCAGAUGUGAAAUCCGGGGGCUCAACUCCCGAACUGCAUUUAAGACUGUUGGUCUAGAGAAUAGGUGCGGUAGGCGGAAUUUAUAGUGUAGCGGUGAAAUGCUUAGAGAUUAGGAGGAACACCAGUGGCGAAGGCAGCCUGCUAAUCGACAACUGACGGUGAGGCGCGAAAGCGUGGGGAGCAAACAGGAUUAGAUACCCGUGUAGUC
rnacentral:rRNA from 1 species